rnacentral:rRNA from 1 species
UACGAAGGGGGCUAGCGUUGUUCGGAAUUACUGGGCGUAAAGCGCGCGCAGGCGGUCCUUCAAGUCAGAGGUGAAAGCCCAGAGCUCAACUCUGGAAUGGCCUUUGAGACUAGAGGACUUGGGUACGGGAGAGGUAAGUGGAAUUCCGAGUGUAGAGGUGAAAUUCGUAGAUAUUCGGAAGAACACCGGUGGCGAAGGCGACUUACUGGACACAUAUUGACGCUGAGGUGCGAAAGCGUGGGGAGCAAACAGG